UAUAGACUUGGCUGUUGACUCUUUUGACUUGGGCCAGUAAGCAACCACCGAGAAACAACCCAGAAUACCUUUCCAGCUGUGCAGUUUACAACACCUUAUCAGAAUGACAGCGAGUUUUGCAUGGCACCACUUGUGUUUUCUCCAGAGAAUUUCCAAACCUAUUCAUGUAUGUGCAUUGCAGUGUUAAUUAUGCUACACUGGGGGAUGCUUGGGUGUGUGUCUAUGACAUUGAGCUGUUUUCUAUGUUGUUAUCACAGUUUAGUUUAGCUUGACUCAUGUUUCUCAGUUGGGGGUGUGUGUCCAAGGGAAAAGACCAAUAUGUCUAGAUCUGUCCUUUGAGGCUCACACAUACACACAUUUUUCCCGUCACUCCCUGCUUCACUAACACGAGAGGGUGUGGUGAUCUGUAGAAAAAUCAACUUCCUGUCUGCAAUCCCCGCAUGGCAUCGUAACGGAUGGGUUUACAUCACCAAACCCAAUCUCACUCUCUGAGAACAUCAGGAAAUGCUUCUCUCCAACACAACAUCAGAGAACGAGCUUUUUUUUUUGAAGGAAAAGUGUGAUAAGCCCUAAACACACUCUCUGUCUCUCGCUCUCUGACACUUACUGCUUCUGAGGAAUAGAAGGGACAGACUUUAUCACCAACAGAUUAAAAAUAGAGAAGGGAGACUGAGGAAAGGCAUCCAGCCUCGAUCAUCGAGCAUUGGUCAAACAUGUGAUCAUCAGAAGCGAGGGGACCUUACUGGAAUCUAACAAUCGUGAUCCUGAUGCUGCUGAGCCCAGAUGUGUGAGAAUCCAUGACUUCUGGAGAGAUCGAUGGCUUUGUGUGGCUGAUGUCCUCAGAGACUCUGGUAGAGCAGCUUGACUUGUGGGGCAAUACUAGUUGAUCAACCAAAACCAGCAUGCACAUGCCCAAAUCAUGACUCAGGAAUAAUGGUAACCAGCAUUAAAAAUGGU